rnacentral:snoRNA from 1 species
ACUGUACACGGUUAAAGCUUGGAGUUGAGGCUGAGGAACUCACAAGUGUAGGUCAUGUGCUACAUGAAGGACAAGUCUUUCAGUAACACCACAGAGGGUCUCUGGCCCCAUGAGUGGAGUUUGAUAGUAAUUCUUGCUACAAAG